UGGAAUGAACAGAAAUUUCACUGCAAAACCUUUUCUAUUUUCGGACCAAAGCUGAAAAUUAGAAAAAAAAAUUACUAAUCAGCAUAUAUGUCCGUGGUGCAAAAAAAUAAAGAAAAAAAGAAUGGCAAGAAAUGUAUUUACCAGGAUGCAAAGGAACAUAAGGCACCAAACCACUUGCGAGGAUUCUCCACUUUCCAAACAAAGUGAAAAUACCAAAAAAAAAAACACUAAUUGUGUAGCAUUUGUGUCUGCUAUGCGAAAAGGAAAAAGGCAAAGAUGAGUUAUUUUGAUAGACUAUAUGUAAAAUUAAUCUGAGAAUUUGUGGCAUAUUCAACCUUAAAAUAGACUUGACAGGCUAGUUAAUGGCAUACGACAAUGCCCAUAAUAAAAGUCUGUAACUUCAGUCACAUCCAAAUGAAUGACAGAAUAUUCCACACCAAAUAAUGCAAUAGAACACCGACACUUUUCUCAUGUUGCAUUAUGCUGGGUAAUUUGCAAAAGGUGAAGUAUGUAUGUAUGAUUUUACGUGAUCCAUUUCUUACACAAAACAUGAUUCAUUCAAUAGUCAAAAUUUGACUCAGCACAAGAAAAGCUACCCAAGAGUCCACAAAAUUAGGUUAAACAACGUCAACAGCUCUCAACACACAAGACUUUUUCAAUCAGGAAAUUAACAUUGGAACCACAACCAUAACACAUUUUAAGUUAAGAUGACAGCCAAAGCAAAGAGUACUACGGCAGAAAAUUUAAUUGCAAUACGGCCUUAAAUUCCACAUUACAAAAAGAAAUAGAAUAAACGUUUUUCUUUUUUGAGAAAUAGAACAAAUUUGAAUUACAAUAUUAGAUUUAAUUUUUAAAAGGCAUUCAAAAUAGAUUGCAAAUUCAGCUCCCAGAUCGCCAAUAAAAGAAAACCAAAACCUCAGUAUCACAGGCAAGAACAAAAAAUAAAGCUGGAUUUAAGAAGCAGCAGUAGCAUAAGAAUAUGUAAAGCUAUUCAACUAAGUAUCUACUAAUUAAUCCCUAAUCAAGAUUGUAAUACACACAGAGAAGGAAAAUUACCAUAGAUUUCAGCUGAAGUGAGAAAUCAGUGUGCAGAAAAGACCCAAUUGGAAGAAAACGGUAGGGUUCCAAUGGCGGUUCAGGCAAGGCGGAGUAGAUGAUUGAUGGCCGAUAGGCAUAAAGAAGUCUUGAAGAUUACGAAUUAGGGUAAAGAAUUUGGGGGAAAGGUCUGGAAAAUUAAGGGCAUGUUUGGUAUUAGCGUUUUUCUGUUUUUUCCAAAGCAAUUUCUAUGUUCCUCGCUCUGUUAGUUUCUGCUUACACUAGGACAAAAUAUGAACCUACGUGUUCUCACUUAUCACUUUAUAAAAUGAAAAUCCCUACUAUUUCAAAAUCAAGAAGGGAGGUUUGUGAUUUUAUCAAAACUAUAAGGGGGUUAGUGUAAUUUACCCUUUUUCUUAUUUCUGAGAUUUUGUAGAGUGAUAAGUGAGAACACGUAGGUUCAUAUUUUGUCCUAGUGUAAGCAGAAACUAACAGAGCGAGGUACAUAGAAAUUGCUUUGGAAAAAACAGAAAAACACUAAUACCAAACAUGCCCUUAAUUUUCCAGACCUUUCCCCCAAAUUCUUUGCCCUAAUUCGUAAUCUUCAAGGUUUCUUCAUCUCUAUUGGCCAUCAAUCAUCAAUUCCGCCCUGCCUGAACUGCCACUGAAACCCUACCGUUUUCUUCCAAUUGGGUUUUUUCUGCACACUGAUUUCUCACUUCAGCUGAAAUCUAUGGUAAUUUUCCUUCUCUGUAUGUAUUACAAUCUUGAUUAGGGAUUAAUUAGUAGAUACUUAGUUGAAUAGCUUUACGUAUUCUUAUGCUACUGCUUCUUCUUAAAUCCUGCUUUAUUUUUUGUUCUUCCCCUGUGAUACUGAGGUUUUGGUUUUCUUUUAUUGGCAAUCCGGGAGCUAAAUUUGCGAUCUAUUUUGAAUACUUUUUAAAAAUUAAAUCUAAUAUUUUAAUUCAAAUUUGUUCUAUUUCUCAAAAAAGAAAAACGUUUGUUCUAUUUCUUUUUGUAACGUGGAAUUUAAGGCCGUAUUGCAAUUAAAUUUUCUGCCGUAGUACUCUUUGCUUUGGCUGUCAUCUUAACUUAAAAUGUGUUAUGGUUGUGGUUCCAAUGUUAAUUCCUGAUUGAAAAAGUCUUGUGUGUUGAGAGCUGUUGACGUUGUUUAACCUAAUUUUGUGGACUCUUGGGUAGCUUUUCUUGUGCUGAGUCAAAUUUUGACUAUUGAAUGAAUCAUAUUUUGUGUAAGAAAUGGAUCACGUAAAAUCAUACAUCCAUACUUCACCUUUUGCAAAUUACCCAGCAUAAUGCAACAUGAGAAAAGUGUCGGUGUUCAAUUGCAUUAUUUGGUGUGGAAUAUUCUGUCAUUCAUUUGGAUGUGACUGAAGUUACAGACUUUUAUUAUUGACAUUGUCGUAUGCCAUUAACUAGCCUGUCAAGUCUAUUUUAAGGUUGAAUAUGCCAUAAAUUCUUAGAUGAAUUUUACAUAUAGUCUAUCAAAAUAACUCAUCUUUGCCUUUUUCCUCUUCGCAUAGCAGACACGAAUGCUACACAAUUAGUGUUUUUUUUUUUUUUGGUAUUUUCAGCUUUGUUUGGAAAGUGGAGAAUCCUCGCAAGUGGUUUGGUGCCUUUUGUUCCUUUGCAUCCUAGUAAAUACAUUUCUUGCCAUUCUUUUUUUCUUUAUUUUUUUGCACCACAGACAUAUAUACUGAUCAGUAAUUUUUUUUUUCUAAUUUUCAGCUUUGGUCCGAAAAUAGAAAAGGUUUUGCAGUGAAAUUUCUGUUCAUUCCAGGUUAGUUUACCUCUGAUUUGUAUCAUUAAUUUGCUGAAAUUUUUGUUAAUAUUAUAUGGGCUGAUAUUUUAAAUAUUUUUCCAGGUUAGUUUUCCAGUAAAAGAGACUUUUUCUCUUGACAUCUAAACAAAAGGUUGGAUUUGUGUGUGCAAGGUCACAUCAUUAGCAAACGGCUUAGCAAAGAAACAUCCAAAUUUUCUUCAAGUCCGAGAGAAAAAUAUUUGCAUUUAGCUAGUUAAGUUAAGGAUCAUUCAUUACAUUCAACGAAAAGUUAUGAUAAGAGAGAUUGUAGGUUGUUCUAUUCUCUUAUAAGGAGAAUUGCAAUUACCCGAUCCCUUGUGUUUAAGUUUUUUGGUAAGUACGCUUCUCUAUCUAGUAAUGUCUUCUGAAUUCUGAUUUAGUCUCUAAUCAUUAAUUCAUUACUAUAAAAUAAUAAUACUCCUAAUUCUGAUUUCUUCAACAAGUUCAAUGGGAAGAUUUAUAUGGUAGCAGAGUCUCGAUUAUCAGAGCUUCCUAUGGAGAAGGCAAAAAAGAGUGUACCUAAUGGACCCGUUAAUGAUUCUGAGAGCACAAAUCCUAAGACAAAGUGCUGGUGCUUCAGAACCGUAAAUAAUUUUCAAGCAAGAAAACCAAAUUUUCACAAAUCCUAAUGGACCCGUCAAUAAUUCCCUUCAACUCAAUUCAAUCAAAGGCAAUAUACGUUCAAAUACCAAGAAAACCAAAUACAAAUCACAACUUUAUCAAUCACCAUCUCCACACGUAUCAAAUUUCAAGCAAGAAAAUAACCAGACUCACAUGUGACUUUAAUUGAAGUGCUGGUGCUUGAGCUUCAGUGUGGUGGCAGGCUGGUAGCACGAAAAUUGGAGAAGAACGGGUGCUGGAGCUUCAAACUUUGAAGCUUGAAACGGCCAAAAUCUGGCGGCAACAGAGGAUUUCGUAGCUUGAUAUUCUUACCGAAGCAAUGGCUGCUGGAGCUUGAAGCUUUAAAGCUUGAAGCCUUGAAGCUGUCAGCUGUAGCUUGUGGGUUCUUGGUAGAAGCCGCAGCGAUUUGUCUUGUGGGUUCUUGGUAAGAGCUGUAGCCGAAGCUUGAGGUGGUUUGAUGGUUGGGAUUUGAUUUGGGCAGCGGAGAGGAGAAGAGAAACGACAAAGGUCUGCUUGAGGAGAAGAUGAAGAAGACCCGAAGCUUUUUUUU
rnacentral:lncRNA from 1 species